AGAGCGAACGCUGGCGGCAGGCUUAACACAUGCAAGUCGAACGGGCAUAGCAAUAUGUCAGUGGCAGACGGGUGAGUAACGCGUGGGAACAUACCUUUUGGUUCGGAACAACUGAGGGAAACUUCAGCUAAUACCGGAUAAGCCCUUACGGGGAAAGAUUUAUCGCCGAAAGAUUGGCCCGCGUCUGAUUAGCUAGUUGGUGAGGUAAUGGCUCACCAAGGCGACGAUCAGUAGCUGGUCUGAGAGGAUGAUCAGCCACAUUGGGACUGAGACACGGCCCAAACUCCUACGGGAGGCAGCAGUGGGGAAUAUUGGACAAUGGGCGAAAGCCUGAUCCAGCCAUGCCGCGUGAGUGAUGAAGGCCUAGGGUUGUAAAGCUCUUUGUGCGGGAAGAUAAUGACGGUACCGCAAGAAUAAGCCCGGCUAACUUCGUGCCAGCAGCCGC
rnacentral:rRNA from 1 species